rnacentral:lncRNA from 1 species
GACCUUUGACCUUGUGACCUUUGUCAAGGUCAUUGCUUCACAAUGUCAUUGCAAAAGACCCUAUGGGUCAAGGACCUUUUGUUUAAGAGUUUUGCCUAAUAAUGGCUUUUUAUAAACCAUCAAUGGGGGUUAUGUCCCUUACAUAAUGGUAAAACCAAUACAGUCAUAAUGUAACAAAGUUGCCCCUUGAAGUACUCAACAUUUUUCACUGCUUAAAUUUUCUGUAUCUAUAACCAUUCAAGAAUUAUAGGGAAAUCAAAGACAUAUGAAAAUCUAAAAUAUGACCUUGACCUUUGACCUUGACCUAAUUUUCUAAGUUAGGAAUCCAGGGGACUCAAAUAAAAACAUUCCAGGGUUAUACGGUUAACGGUUUAUGAGUUAAAAAAACAUACCGACAAAUUU